GCCCUCUCAGGGUUGCAUCUGGAGAGUUUCCCGUACUCUACCAACCGCAGCUAUAGGAGGGAGAGUUAAGCAGGGGCCUACCCAUUCUAUUCCUAGCUUGGGCAGUAGCUAGCGAGUGGAAGGCAAUCUGCUACAAGU